rfam:Parcubacteria (Giovannonibacteria) bacterium GW2011_GWB1_47_6b TY02_C0014, whole genome shotgun sequence.
GCCGGCAUAGCUCAGUGGUUAGAGCGAGCGCUUCAUAAGCGUUAGGCCGCAGGUUCGAUCCCUGCUGCCGGCA